GUGGUGGAUAUCAUCUCAGCUUUGGUCUUCUUUGCAGUCUCUCCUUUAUGAGAGAUUCUAGGGUUCCGAUGACGUUUGCAUUUUGAUGAAUGUCUCCAUUUUCGUAUAGAUCGAACCUCGUAGUGAUGUUUGGAAUUGUUUUGGUUGUUCCAGCUUCUCCAACAAGCUUCUGGGUUUCCCAGCUUGGCUCGUGAUAUUCCUGGAAUAGCGUUCUAACUGACAAUGAACCAUUCAAGGUUGAUAACAGUGUGAAGGAAUCCACAAAUGAGGUUAAAAAUUCUGA
rnacentral:lncRNA from 1 species